AGUGAACGCUGGCGAUAGGCCUAACACAUGCAAGUCGAACGGCAGCACAGGAGAGCUUGCUCUCUGGGUGGCGAGUGGCGGACGGGUGAGGAAUACAUCGGAAUCUACUCUGUCGUGGGGGAUAACGUAGGGAAACUUACGCUAAUACCGCAUACGACCUACGGGUGAAAGCAGGGGAUCUUCGGACCUUGCGCGAUUGAAUGGGCCGAUGUCGGAUUAGCUAGUUGGCGGGGUAAAGGCCCACCAAGGCGACGAUCCGUAGCUGGUCUGAGAGGAUGGUCAGCCACACUGGAACAGAGACACGGUCGAGACUCCUACGGGAGGCAGCGGUGGGGAAUAUUGGACAAUGGGCGCAAGCCUGAUCCAGCCAUACCGCGUGGGUGAAGAAGGCCUUCGGGUUGUAAAGCCCUUUUGUUGGGAAAGAAAUCCAGCUGGCUAAUACCCGGUUGGGAUGACGGUACCCAAAGAAUAAGCACCGGCUAACUUCGUGCCAGCCGCCGCCGUAA
rnacentral:rRNA from 1 species